GAGGAUGUGGCUCAGCGGUAGAGCUUUCAUCUUGAAUGCACAAGGCCAUGGGUUUGAUUCCCAGCACCAUCA
rnacentral:tRNA from 1 species